rnacentral:lncRNA from 1 species
CUGCACAAAGAUUGAAAAUAUUCACUAAUUGAUUGUAGUAAUGACAAGGAGGAAAGUCAAAUCAUAUGGAGUGAGAAAUCACAUUAUUACCACAAAGGUGUUGGCACGAGCAACAUCGAGUGUAGUAACUCCAAGGAGCUUCUUUGGAUCAUAAGUUCCAGCUUUCUUGAAAACCUCAGCGGCAAUGGGGACAGUAGAGUUCACAGGGUUGCUGAUCAAGUUGACAACCGCAUUUGGACAACAUUUUGCUACACCUUCACAUAGUGUCUUAACAAUCCCAGCAUUGAUUUUAAACAGAUCAUCACGGGUCAUCCCUGGUUUCCUCGGUAUACCGGCUGGUAUGAUCACAAGAUCCAUACCCGUUAGUGCGUCCUCAAGCUGUUUUGCUCCCAAGAAUCCCCGGACCUAAUUGGCUCAAACCAAUCAAGAAUGCUCAAUACUCUCUACUCAUUCAUUAGCAAGAAGAAGUGAAGUUUUCAAAGUUGAGAGGUUCUUACAACAGCUCCAGUGUCCAUAUGACUGAUGUCAGCUGUGACGCCAGGUGCAUUGACAACAUCGUAGAGAUGAAGUAAAGAGACAAGAGGGUUCAGCUUCAUCAGCAAAGCUAAAGGUUGUCCAAUUCCACCUGCAGCUCCAAGAAUCGCUACUUUGAAUCCUGAAUUCCCGCCUUUCGCUCUGCAGUUUUCUCGUCCCAUUACCGAAUUCUUUCCCUCCACCUAAUCAUUGACCAAUCACACACACAAAAAAAAAAGAUAACAUAUCAACUCUUAGUCCUAGAAGGCUUCAAUGGAGACAAAAACAAUUUGUUCUCACUCUCUAUUGUCAUCAGAAAUGGAAGUUCACUAGUAGAACGAAUGUAAAGUUCGUAACUGGACUAAAAUUUGAGUCUUGAUGACUCUGAGACUGAAUACAAACUAUUAUUUCUUGUUUUAGAACAGCCAAUGAUUAAAAGAACCAAAUAAGGUAACUUGAAUUAGAAGCAAUAGUGAGGAAAAAAAAAACCUGAAGAGUUAAAGAAGGUUGAAGAUGAGCUGAAAUCCUAGCAAUCCUCUGGUUGGCGUUGGCAUCUCCACGAAACUCCAUUGGUGUGUUCCUCUGUUUGCUCUCGUUACAAAGCU